rnacentral:rRNA from 1 species
GACGAACGCUGGCGGCAUGCCUAAUACAUGCAAGUCGAGCGAACAGAUGAAGUGCUUGCACUUCUGACGUUAGCGGCGAACGGGUGAGUAACACGUAAGGAAUCUACCUAUAAGCGGGGGAUAACAUUUGGAAACGGGUGCUAAUACCGCAUAAUAUCUUCUUCCGCAUGGAAGAAGAUUGAAAGACGGCUCUGCUGUCACUUAUAGAUGACCUUGCGGUGCAUUAGUUAGUUGGUGGGGUAACGGCCUACCAAGACGAUGAUGCAUAGCCGACCUGAGAGGGUGAUCGGCCACAUUGGGACUGAGACACGGCCCAAACUCCUACGGGAGGCAGCAGUAGGGAAUCUUCCGCAAUGGGCGAAAGCCUGACGGAGCAAUGCCGCGUGAGUGAAGAAGGCCUUCGGGUCGUAAAACUCUGUUAUAAGAGAAGAACAAAUUGUAGAGUAACUGCUACAGUCUUGACGGUAUCUUAUCAGAAAGCCACGGUUAACUACGUGCCAGCCGCCGCGGUA